rnacentral:miRNA from 1 species
GCUCAUCAAUUGGAAGGCAUUCCUUCCAAUCAAUGAGGUUGUUAUGAACCUCAUUGAUUGGAAGGAAUGCCUUCCGAUGUGGUGAGC